rnacentral:lncRNA from 1 species
AAUAAAAUAAACCACUUUAUUUCAAACAUAUAUAUGUAGUACAAGAACAGGCCAUCAUAAAGGCAACAAAACGAUACAAUUGGAAUCACAACAAUAUUGAAGCACAAAAUUAAAGUACUCCUCCAAAGCAGGUAGCUCUGCCUAUAGUUAUUCUUUUAGAGAAAAAGAAAAAAGCAGGAUUAUUGAACUGAAUGGCUGAUCACGGAUUUCUUUUUCUAAGAUUUUCUGGAUAGGCAGUUAUCACUUGGAGGGUUUCAGUAAAAUGACAAACUCAAACAAAUAACUUCAAGACACCAAUAGGAAGACACUGGACAUAUUCUUGUAACGUGUGGUUUUAGAAGACAUAGUCCAAGGAAAUCAGUAGGAAUAAGGAGGUGCAAUCGCUAAUGGAGAUGACUUGUAAUGCAAGGUGGCAGGCGUGAAGGUAACUAAUAGCAAGGAUGUGGCUCAGCGGUUUACUUGUAUGGUGGAGGUGGUGGUGAGGAAUACUUAUAUGGUGGAGGUGGUGGUGAGGAAUACUUAUAUGGUGGGGGAGGUGGUGAAGUAUACUUGUAAGGAGGUGGUGGAGGUGAAGAAUACAUGUAUGGUGGAGGUGGUGGGGAGGAGUACUUGUAAGGUGGUGGUGGUGGUGAUGAGUAGACAUAUGGCGGUGGCUUGUACACAUAAGGAG